UACAGAGGGGGCAAGCGUUGUUCGGAAUUACUGGGCGUAAAGGGCGCGUAGGCGGCCUGCUAAGUCGAACGUGAAAUCCCUGGGCUCAACCCAGGAACUGCGUCCGAUACUGGAUGGCUUGAAUCCGGGAGAGGGAUGCGGAAUUCCAGGUGUAGCGGUGAAAUGCGUAGAUAUCUGGAGGAACACCGGUGGCGAAGGCGGCAUCCUGGACCGGCAUUGACGCUGAGGAGCGAAAGCCAGGGGAGCAAACGGG
rnacentral:rRNA from 1 species